AUUGAACGCCGGCGGCAUGCUUUACACAUGCAAGUCGGACGGUAACAGGCCGCAAGGUGCUGACGAGUGGCGAACGGGUGAGUAAUGCAUCGGAACGUGCCCAGUCGUGGGGGAUAACUACUCGAAAGAGUAGCUAAUACCGCAUACGAUCUAUGGAUGAAAGCGGGGGACCGUAAGGCCUCGCGCGAUUGGAGCGGCCGAUGUCAGAUUAGGUAGUUGGUGGGGUAAAGGCUCACCAAGCCAACGAUCUGUAGCUGGUCUGAGAGGACGACCAGCCACACUGGGACUGAGACACGGCCCAGACUCCUACGGGAGGCAGCAGUGGGGAAUUUUGGACAAUGGGCGCAAGCCUGAUCCAGCAAUGCCGCGUGCAGGAAGAAGGCCUUCGGGUUGUAAACUGCUUUUGUACGGAACGAAACGGCUCUGGUUAAUACCCGGGGCUAAUGACGGUACCGUAAGAAUAAGCACCGGCUAACUACGUG
rnacentral:rRNA from 1 species